UACGAAGGGGGCUAGCGUUGCUCAGAAUCACUGGGCGUAAAGGGUGCGUAGGCGGGUCUUUAAGUCAGGGGUGAAAUCCUGGAGCUCAACUCCAGAACUGCCUUUGAUACUGAGGAUCUUGAGUUCGGGAGAGGUGAGUGGAACUGCGAGUGUAGAGGUGAAAUUCGUAGAUAUUCGCAAGAACACCAGUGGCGAAGGCGGCUCACUGGCCCGAUACUGACGCUGAGGCACGAAAGCGUGGGGAGCAAACAGG
rnacentral:rRNA from 1 species